UACCUGGUUGAUUCUGCCAGUAGUCAUAUGCUUGUCUCAAAGAUUAAGCCAUGCAUGUCUAAGUAUAAGCAAUUUAUACCGUGAAACUGCGAAUGGCUCAUUAAAUCAGUUAUCGUUUAUUUGAUAGUACCUUACUACUUGGAUAACCGUGGUAAUUCUAGAGCUAAUACAUGCUAAAAGCCCCGACUUCGGAAGGGGUGUAUUUAUUAGAUAAAAAACCAAUGCCCUCCGGGGCUCCUUGGUGAUUCAUAAUAACUUAACGAAUCGCAUGGCCUUGUGCCGGCGAUGGUUCAUUCAAAUUUCUGCCCUAUCAACUAUGGAUGGUAGUAUAUGGGACUACCAUGGUUUCAACGGGUAACGGGGAAUUAG
rnacentral:ncRNA from 1 species